CCCCCUUCCGUCUCCGCCCUUCCCUGGCAGAGCGGGCUCUGGCUGUCAGGCGAGGGUCUGGACGGGUGGGGGCCGGGAGGGGAGUGCGGGCGGGC
rnacentral:miRNA from 1 species